rnacentral:lncRNA from 1 species
UCUACUUUUUCUGUUAAUAUCGGUUUUAUUUAACUUUUUGUGUGUGGAGAGUUGGAUUUGCUUAUGUAUAGGAAAUGAUCUUGAAUGUGGGAUUUGGUGUGUGCGUUUGUGUAUAUAUAGGGUGCAAGAUUUCAAUAUUGGCGUAAUUGUGGGAAGGCAAGUACUAAUUAAUGAGUAUUUAUGUGGGGUUUGAAAAAAAUGAGAUUAGAUAU